ensembl:lncRNA
GUAUGUGGUUUGUUCAUCCUGCAGUCAGUGCUACUGCAGCAUUGAGACAAGCUGCAUCAACACUGACCCAGAGAGCAUGUGGACAAACACAGGGAUAGCUUACUCAGCAGUGAUCUCUUUAACACUAGUUGGUAAUUUUGGAAAAAGGAUGGGAACUAACUUUGGGAAGGUGUGUGAGUAGGAAGGAGCUUUGUCAUGGCAGUCAUAGAAAAUUAGCAUUGCAGACAGGAGGACUGUGGGGCUUUUUACAGUUUAUUGUGGUUAAGUCUCUUUGUAUAUGACCUGAAUGGACAAAAAGAUGGAUUAUUUUGAUAGGACUGUUAGUAAAUGCAGUAGUACUAAUGCUGCAAAGAAUGAAUUCUGUCAAAAAGUAAUAGGCACAAGCUGAUUGUGAUCAGACAGAGGCUAAAACAUGUCGGGAAAGUUCUGGAAAAGAAUGAGGGCAGCCCCUGCCUUACAGGUUUGGUUGAGCCAGAUGAGGACAGAUAGGAAGGGGGCAUUGGAAGGCCACGUUCUACAAUGGUUCAAUACUUAAGAUGAAAUUUACAUUUUCAUAUGUGUUCAACGACAAUUUUAUAGUUAACUUCUGUCUUGUGGACCUUAACUGCUUUAUAUUCCUUUCUUCAGACCAAGCCAAUGGAAAUCUCAUUUCAAAGCUGAAUAAAAUGUUUGCAAACCCUUAAGCUCCCACUUUUGUUUUUGGCGUUUUUUUGUUUGUUUGUUUGUUUGUUUGUUUGUCUGUUUGUUUCCUUUUAUUGAAAUGGUGGUGGAAUUGUGCCAAGUGAGUGGUCUUUGAUCUGAUCUUCAGAUAUGAGCCCAGGAAUUUGGGGGCUCAUAUCUGGCGAUUGAUUAUCUGAAAAUGUUAUUUGCCUUUACCUUAUGCUCAGAAAUAACGGAAGUUGUGCUAGCCAAGGCUUUCCAAAGAAAAAAAAUAAAGCACAGGAUGGAUAAUGACAAGGAAAAUUUCAGUCCAAGUAGGUGAAUAGGAAAAGUAUGAAAUAUUUAAAUUACAACUACCAAUUUAAAGUUAG